rnacentral:rRNA from 1 species
GUAGCGGCGAGUGAAGCGGCAAAAGCUCAAAUUUGAAAUCUGGCACCUUCGGUGUCCGAGUUGUAAUUUGAAGAUUGUAACCUUGGGGUUGGCUCUUGUCUAUGUUUCUUGGAACAGGACGUCACAGAGGGUGAGAAUCCCGUGCGAUGAGAUGCCCAAUCCUAUGUAAGGUGCUUUCGAAGAGUCGAGUUGUUUGGGAAUGCAGCUCUAAGUGGGUGGUAAAUUCCAUCUAAAGCUAAAUAUUGGCGAGAGACCGAUAGCGAACAAGUACAGUGAUGGAAAGAUGAAAAGAACUUUGAAAAGAGAGUGAAAAAGUACGUGAAAUUGUUGAAAGGGAAGGGUUUGAGAUCAGACUCGAUAUUUUGUGAGCCUUGCCUUCGUGGCGGGGUGACCCGCAGCUUAUCGGGCCAGCAUCGGUUUGGGCGGUAGGAUAAUGGCGUAGGAAUGUGACUUUGCUUCGGUGAAGUGUUAUAGCCUGCGUUGAUGCUGCCUGCCUAGACCGAGGACUGCGAUUUUAUCAAGGAUGCUGGCAUAAUGAUCCCAAACCGCCCGUCUUAAAAAACGGAACACAAAAACGCAGCGAGUAACUAGUCUCCCAGGGGUUGUGGCGUGCCUCACCUGCAUCAUUCGCGUUUGGAACAUACGCGUGAAAUGAAGUCGUUUGUGCGAUGCACAGAACAA